AUUCCGGUUGAUCCUGCCGGAGGCUAUUGCUAUCGGUGUCCGAUUUAGCCAUGCGAGUUGUACGUUUAACGUAGCAGACUGCUCAGUAACACGUGGCCGAUCUACCCUAUGGACUGGGAUAACCACGGGAAACUGUGGCUAAUCCCUGAUAGCGCUCCCGAGCUUGAAUGCUGGGAGCGUUAAACGCUCCGGCGCCAUAGGAUGAGGCUGCGGCUGAUUAGGUAGACGGUGAGGUAACGGCUCACCGUGCCAAUAAUCGGUACGGGUCAUGAGAGUGAGAACCCGGAGACGGAAUCUGAGACAAGAUUCCGGGCCCUACGGGGCGCAGCAGGCGCGAAACCUUUACACUGCACGCCAGUGCGAUAGGGGGACACCGAGUGCGGAGGCAUAGAGCCUUCGCUUUUGUGUACCGUAAGGUGGUACACGAAUAAGGGCUGGGCAAGACCGGUGCCAGCCGCCGCGGUAACACCGGCAGCCCGAGUGAUGGCCGAUAUUAUUGGGCCUAAAGCGUCCGUAGCUGG
rnacentral:rRNA from 1 species